rnacentral:tRNA from 1 species
GCUUCUAUAGCUCAAUGGUAGAGCAGCCGCCUUGUAAGCGGCAGGUUACGGGUUCAAGUCCUGUUGGAAGCUCCA